rnacentral:lncRNA from 1 species
UUUUUAUACUUAUGUAGUAAUAUAUAUUUUUACAGAACCCUGUGAUAAAAGCCUUCCUGUCCGGAUCAUGUUCGGGUGUUAUCAGCACAGUUUUAUUGCAACCUUUAGAUGUGGUAAAGACCCGCCUACAAAAUCCUCCAGCUGCACUUAGAAAUCAGCCAAAUGGACUACACAUCAUCCCUAUAGUUUCUAAUGUAAUAAAACACGAGCAGAUAGCAGGACUAUGGAA